AGCAGUGAGGUCGCGCGAGUAGUGUGCGGCACACGCUCUAGUCCAACCCUAGCUUACAGCUAUUGGCCUUGUAUUUUUAAGGGCUUUUUAGUCUUUUCUUACCUUAUAACUCCCAGCCCACGCCUAAUAAUCCUCAAGGGGCGAUAUUUUCCCCUAUUUCAACAAUUAAACAUCUCAAAUCCUCUCAAAAACAUAACCCUAGC
rnacentral:lncRNA from 1 species